UCCGGUUUGUCACCGGCAGUCCCAUUAGAGUGCUCAACUGAAUGUAGCAACUAAUGGCAAGGGUUGCGCUCGUUGCGGGACUUAACCCAACAUCUCACGACACGAGCUGACGACAGCCAUGCAGCACCUGUGUUGCGGUUCCCUUUCGGGCACCCCUGCAUUUCUGCAGGGUUCCGCACAUGUCAAGGGUAGGUAAGGUUUUUCGCGUUGCAUCGAAUUGAACCACAUGCUCCACUGCUUGUGCGGGCCCCCGUCA
rnacentral:misc_RNA from 1 species